rnacentral:rRNA from 1 species
AUGGCUGAGAUCAAGUGCGACCCUCGGGUCAUGACUAAGCUACAAGUCGAGGUGAGAAACAACACACCGAAGGGGCAAGACUUGGUCGAGGAAGAGAACUUAGCCAACAUGACAUAUUUGAAGGUAGUGGUGAAGGAGACGCUUAGGUUGCACCCGCCGCUACCGCUCCUCAUCCCUCACCUUUCCAAGGUAGAGAGCGAAGUUGACGUUGCUGGAUACACGGUCCCUUCUGGAGCAUGGGUCAUGGUGAACUCAUGGGCUAUCAAUAGAGACCCCGAGUGGUGGGAGAAGCCAGAGGAGUUCCUGCCAGAAAGGUUCAUGGAGGGUGGUAGAGCCUCGGCGGUGGACUUCAGGGGGAAUGACUUCCAAUUUUUGUCGUUUGGAGCUGGCAGGAGGAUCUGCCCUGGUAUCAACUUCGGGCUGGCGACCAUCGAGAUCAUGCUGGCAAACCUUGUGUACAAUCACGACUGGGAGCUGUCGUCCGCCGCGGGCAAGAAGGGUAUUGACAUGUGA